rnacentral:rRNA from 1 species
UACGUAGGGGGCGAGCGUUGUCCGGAAUUACUGGGCGUAAAGGGCACGUAGGCGGUGCCUCAAGUCAUUUGUAAAGAGAUGCGGCUUAACCGUGUUGAGCAAGUGAGACUGAGGGGCUGGAGUGCCGGAGAGGCAAGCGGAAUUCCCAGUGUAGCGGUGAAAUGCGUAGAUAUUGGGAAGAACAUCGGUGGCGAAGGCGGCUUGCUGGCCGGUAACUGACGCUGAGGUGCGAAAGCCAGGGUAGC